rnacentral:lncRNA from 1 species
GGCGCCUCCGGCACGGACGCGUCCGCUUCCGGCCCAGCCGGGCCCAGCGCCCGUUCCAGCGCUGCCGCCAUUCGGCCGUGGCCAAUCUCUGCCUCCGUUCCGCGGGGAGCGGCCAAUGGGAGCUCGGAGCCCCUCAGCCAAUCGGGGAGCGGCUUCCCUCAGCGCUGCUCCCGCCCACCGCGCGCCUCAACCAAUCGGAGGGGAGAGUCCCGCGGAGCCGCUCCCGCCCGCCGUGCUCUCCUCAGCCAAUCGGAGAGGAGCAUCUCUCAGCCCACGGCGCGCGCCUCAGCCAACCAGAAGAGGCUCCCUCCCGCUCCCGCCCACCGCGCGCGUCUCAGCCAAUCGGAGGGCACGAAAAGGAGGGCGGGAUGCCCGUCCCGCGCGCCGUCCCCCUCCUCGCUUUUCAUUGGCCGCUCCAGCCGCCAAUCCAGCACCGCCCCGUCUCCCGACGCGCUUCAAAGCCCCGCCCCUUCCCGCUCCGCUCAGCCAAUAGGGAGGCGGUACCCGGCAGGGGGGGGCGUGCCCGGAGCUGUCAGUCACUCCCCGCUGCCUGGCAACGCGUUGCUUGGCGACGGCGGGCUGUUGCCGGGCAACGGGGCGAGUUGGGCGCGGCUCCGCGCAUGCGCAGACGAGACGGGACGCACGAUGUGCACCAGGAGGCGCAGGGAUGGAUGAUGCACAGGGAUGCAUGAGGCUGCAGGGCUUGCACGAGGAUGCACGAGGGUGCACGAGGAGGCGCCGGGUUGCACGACAAUGCACGGGUGUGAGCACACGAGGAUGCACCGGAGAGCAUAAGAAUGCAUGGGGUUGGGGGGCAUGAGGGAUGUGCAGCGUUGCACGGGGAUUCACAGGGAUGGAUGCACGGGGGGGCUGCGGGAUGCAAGAGGGGUGCACGAGGAUGCACGGCGGUGCACGAGGAUGCAUGCACGGGAUGCACGAGGGUGCACAGUGUUGCACAGCGUCGCACGAGGAUGCACGGUGUCGCACGAGGAUGCACGGGGUUGCACAAGGAUGCACGGUGUUGCAUGAGGGUGCAUGCACGAGGUUGCACAGUGAUGCACGGUGUUGCACGAGGGAGCACGGGGUUGCACGAGGAUGCACAGUGUUGCAUGAGGGUGCAUGCACGAGGUUGCACAGUGUUGCACAGCAUCACACAAGGAUGCACGGGGUUGCACAAGGAUGCACGGGGGUGCACGCGCGUGCACAGCAUUGCACGAUGCAUGAGGAUGGAUGCACAGUGACGCAUGGUGGCUCAUGGUCAGGGUGCAAAAUGGUGCACGAGGGUGCCCGGGGUUACACGAGGAUGCACGAGGGUGCGUGGGGAUGCACGUGGAGGAUGCACUUGGUGCACAACGGUGCACGCGGACGGACGCACGAGGGUGCAGAGGGCGGCACAAGGAUGCAAGGGGGUGCACAAGAUUGGAUGCACGGGGAUGCACGAGGAUGGAUGCAUGAGGCGGCACGAGGAUGCACGGGGAUGUGCAAGGAUGCUCAGAGUUGCACGAGGUUGCACGGGGAGGCACGGGGAUGCACAAGUGUGCAGAGGACACACGGGGACACGUGUGGGCAGCCGAAGUCGCCCAGCCCGGUGCACACGGUUGCACGAGGCCGCGUGCCAUUGCACCAGGAUGCACGAGGAUGCAUGGCGAGGCACGGCGUGGCACGGGGAGGCACGAGGCUGCACGGGGAUACAAGGGCGUGCACGGGGGUGGGUGCACGAGGGUGCAAGAGGUUGCACGAGGGCGCAGAGCACACACGGGGACGGCUGCAGAGGGACACCCGAGGACGCCCAAAGCUUCACGGGGACGCCCGCGGGCUCACGAGGAUGCACGGCCCCGUGCACGGGGAUGCACGAGGAUGCACGAGAGGAUGCACGAGGAGGCCGGCUCGGGGCGUCCCCUCGGCUACGCGUAUUCUCCAGCAAUAACAGCGCGGCCGUGUUAUCCGCCCGAGAAUACCCGUCACCGCGGGGCGCGGGGGGGGCAUCCGGGGGGGGGGGGGUGGGGGGGGAUUGAGGGGGGAAAGGGGGGAGGGGAGGGGAGGAGGAGGAGGGGGGAUUCGAACCCGCGGACGGGGGAAGCCCUGGGCGGGGCCUCGAGAGCCGCCGGGUGGGGAUUCAGCACCACGGACAGCGGCAAUGCUGCUCUAAUGGGGGCUGUGGGGGUUCUAUAGGGAUCUAUAGGGGUCUAUGGGGGACCAUAGGGGUUCUAUGAGGUCUAUGGGGGCUCUAUGGGGGACUAGAGGGGUUCUAUAGGGGUCUUUGUGUCUCAGCAGCAUGGACAGUGGCAAUGGGGCUGUAAAGUGGGCUGUGGGGGUUCUAUAGGGAUCUAUAGGGGUCUAUGGGGGACCAUAGGGGUUCUAUGAGGUCUAUGGGGGCUCUAUGGGGGACUAUAGGGGUUAUAUGGGGGUCUAUGGGGCUCAGCACCACGAACAGUGGCAAUGGGGCUCUAAUGGGGGCUGUGGGGGUUCUAUAGGGAUCUGUAGGGGUCUAUGGGGGACCGUAGGGGUUCUAUGAGGUCUAUGGGGGCUCUAUGGGGGACUAUAGGGGUUCUAUAGGGGUCUAUGGGGCUCAGCACCACGAACAGUGGCAAUGGGGCUCUAAUGGGGGCUGUGGGGGUUCUAUAGGGAUCUAUAGGGGUCUAUGGGGGACUAUAGGGGUUCUAUGGGGACUAUAGGGGUUCUAUGGGGGUCUAUGGGGGUUCUAUUGGGGACUAUAGGGGUACUACAGGGAUCUGUGGGGCUUAACACCGCGGGCAGCGGCAAUGGGGCUCUAUAGGGGUUCUAUAGGGGUCUAUGGGGGUUCUAUUGGGGACUAUAGGGGUUCUAUAGGGUUCUAUGUGGGUUCUAUGGUGGAUCAGCACCACGGACAGCGGCAAUGGGGCUCUAUAGGGGUCUGUGGGGGUUCUAUGAGGGACUAUAGGGGUUCUAUAGGGUUCUAUGGGGGUUCUAUGGUGGAUCAGCAUCACGGACAGCGGCAAUGGGGCGCUAUAGGGGUUCUAUAGGGGUCUGUGGGGUCUCAGCACCACCGACAGUGGCAGUAGGGUUCUAUAGGGGUCUAUAGGCUGUCUAUAGGGGCUCGGCAAGACGGACAGCGGCAAUGGGGCUCUAUAGGGGUUCUAUAGGGGUCUAUGGGGGUUCUAUUGGGGACUAUAGGGGUUCUAUAGGGGUCUAUGGGGGUUCUAUGGUGGAUUAGCAUCACGGACAGCGGCAAUGGGGCGCUAUAGGGGUUCUAUAUGGGUCUAUGGGGCAAUGCGGUUCGGUGGAGAACUAUGGGAAUUCUAUGGGGUUUGGCAACAGGGACAGCGGCAGCGGCACUCUAUGGGGGUCGUAUGGGGUCUAUGGGGGUUCUAUAGGGAUCUAUUGGGGUUCUAUAGGGGUCCGGAAGCACGGAGAGCAGCUGGAGGGGGCAAUGGGAUUGUAUGGGGCCUAGGGGGGAUUCUAUGGGAGCUCUAUAGGCGGUGCUAUAGGGGUUGUAUGGGGGGGGGACAAUGGGAGCUCUGUAGGGGGUUCUAUAGGUUCUAUAUGGGGCUUUGGCACCCAGGAUAGCAGCUGUGGGGGGUCAAUGGGGCUCGGGGGGGGGGGGGGUCCUGUAGGACGGUCCUCCAGGGGCUGUAUGGGGUUCUAUAAGGGGUUCUAUGAAGCCUAUGGGGGUUCUAUGGGGGGGCUCUAUAUAGGGCCCUCUACAUAGGGGCUCCACGGGGUUCCAUAGGGGCCCUAUAGGGCUCUAUGGGGAUGGGGGGGGAUGUAUAUAGGGCCCUCUACAUAGGGGCUCCAUGGGGGCUCUAUAGGGGCCCUAUGGGGCUCAAUGGGGGGGAGGAUCUAUAUAGGGCCCACAUAGGGGCUCCAUGGGGGCUCUAUAGGGGCCCUAUAGGGCUCAAUGGGGGGUGGAGGGGCUCUAUAUAGGGCCCACUACAUAGGGGCUUCAUGGGGUUCCAUAGGGGCCCUAUAGGGCUCUAUGGGGAUGGGGGGGGCUAUAUAUAGGGCCCUCUACAUAGGGGCUCCAUGGGGGCUCUAUAGGGGCCCUAUAGGGCUCAAUGGGGGGUGGAGGGGCUCUAUAUAGGGCCCACUACAUAGGCGCUUCAUGGGGUUCCAUAGGGGCCCUAUAGGGCUCAAUGGGGGGGAGGGGGGGGGCUUUAUAUAGGGCCCUCUACAUAGGGGCUCCAUGGGGGCUCUAUAGGGGCCCUAUAGGGCUCUAUGGGGGGGGGAGGAUCUAUAUAGGGCCCACAUAGGGGCUCCACGGGGUUCCAUAGGGGCCCUACAGAGAGCUCAGCGAUGCCUAUGGGGAUGGACACAGGGCCCAUAUAGGGCCUCAGUGAGCUUCUAUGGGGGCUCUCUAUGGGGCGCCGAUCGGGGCCUCUAUAGGGACUCUAUAGGGCCCAUAUAGGGCCUCCACGAGCUUCUACGGGGGCUCUCUAUGGGACGCCAACCGGGGGCUCUAUAGGGACUCUAUAGGGCCCUCCAGCACCGCCGCACGGCCCCACCCCCCCCAACCCCCCCCCAAACCCCCCCCCCCCAACCCGUCCGUCCCCACCGGGGGGGGUCGUGGGGGGGUCGUGGGGGGGUCCCGGCCCAGCGCU